rnacentral:lncRNA from 1 species
CCUCCAUGUUUUUUUUACUCCACGUCUUUUCUUUUACAUUACCAGCCGUCUGAUUUAAGCUUUUGACCAAGGCCGAGACCUCUUUUGUAGGCUUUUACUUUACUUCAUUAUCCAAAACUAAGUAAAGUCCAAUCCUCCAAAAACCCAUUCAACCUUCUCCUCUUUCUUAUCCAUUCUAUUUAACCAAUUUAAAUUUUGCGCUCAGACGUGAACUAAGUUAGUGUUUAAGUACAAUGAUAUUAUUAGUAAACUAGAUAGUUUGAUAUUAUUAGCAAGUCAGAUAGGUAAUUGUUAGGAAAAAGAGUAGUGAGAAUUCACUUUAUUAUGCAGAAAAUACAUAAUUAUUAUUAUUAUCCACCAUUGCAAUAAAAAGUCAUUCACGUGAGUUAGGUUAGUAGAUCAAACUCGUUUUUUUCUCUAUGUUUAAGCUUGGAUUGCAAUCCAACUAUUCAGAAUUAGAACAUGAAAUUAGAAUAAUUCAGAAAUACUUUUUUUGUAGGGAAUGAAAAAUAAGAAAAAGUUUGCAGUUCCAAAAUUUAGACAAACGAAAAAUGGAUAAUACUGAACAGAUUAAAUAUGUAAACUAAAUUUUAUAAAGUAAAUGAUAUGAAAAU